AUUGAACGCUGGCGGCAUGCUUUACACAUGCAAGUCGAACGGUAACAGGCCGCAAGGUGCUGACGAGUGGCGAACGGGUGAGUAAUGCAUCGGAACGUGCCCAGUCGUGGGGGAUAACGCAGCGAAAGCUGCGCUAAUACCGCAUACGAUCUAUGGAUGAAAGCGGGGGACCGUAAGGCCUCGCGCGAUUGGAGCGGCCGAUGUCAGAUUAGGUAGUUGGUGGGGUAAAGGCUCACCAAGCCGACGAUCUGUAGCUGGUCUGAGAGGACGACCAGCCACACUGGAACUGAGACACGGCCCAGACUCCUACGGGAGGCAGCAGUGGGGAAUUUUGGACAAUGGGCGCAAGCCUGAUCCAGCAAUGCCGCGUGCAGGAAGAAGGCCUUCGGGUUGUAAACUGCUUUUGUACGGAACGAAAAGGCUCUGGAUAAUACCUGGGGCUCAUGACGGUACCGUAAGAAUAAGCACCGGCUAACUACGUGCCAGCCGCCGCCGUAAAAC
rnacentral:rRNA from 1 species